rnacentral:ncRNA from 2 species
GCUUGAUAUUGAAUUUGGGUACGAUUUGUACAGGAUAGGUGGGAGCCUGAGAAAUAGGAGCGCAAGCUUCUAUGGAGGCGCCGUUGGGAUACCACCCUGAUCGUAUCUAGGUUCUAACCUAGGACCGUAAACCGGUUCGGGGACAGUGUCAGGUGGGCAGUUUGACUGGGGCGGUCGCCUCCUAAAGAGUAACGGGGGCGCCCCAAGGGUCCCUCAGAAUGGGUGGGAAUCAUUCGCAGAGUGCAACGGCAGUAGGGAGCUUGACUGCGAGACCUACAAGUCGGGCAGGGACGACAGUCGGGCUUAGUGAUCCGGUCGUACCGCAUGGAAGGGCCAGCGCUCAGCGGAUACCAGCUACCCUGGGGAUCACAGGCUGAUCUCCCCCAAGAGUCCACGUCGACGGGGAGGGUUGGCACCUGGAUGUCGGCUCAUCGCAUCCUGGGGCUGAAGUAGGUCCCAAGGGUUGGGCUGUUCGCCCAUUAAAGCGGUACGCGAGCUGGGUUCAGAACGUCGUGAGACAGUUCGGUCCCUAUCUGUCGUGGGCGCAGGAAAUUUGAGAGGAGCUGUCCUUAGUACGAGAGGACCGGGAUGGACGCACCUCUGGUGUACCAGUUGUUCCGCCAGGAGCAUAGCUGGGUAGCUA